CGGCGCAUCCUUAAGGAGGGCGGCGCCUCUGCGCCCCUAGAACCCCAGGCUUGAGUACCGCCGGGUGGUCGACGAACCGCGGUCCAGUAGAGCAGGGUUUUACCAAUAAUUACUUUCUUCUGCUGUGUGAUACCUGUCCUCUAUAAUAUAAACCUCAUGCAGUGGCUAAUCCUAAGAUUACUUUGGGUACAGUAGCCACAGAAACUCUUGAGUGUAGCAGGAAACAUUUUCUGGGGUAUGAGAGAGAGGGAAAGACAGAGAAAGAGAGAAACGUCCAUCAUCUUUUGGUUGCACCCCGGAGGAGCC